GGAAGUCUGGUGCCAGCAGCCGCGGCAAUUCCAGCUCCAAUAGCGUAUAUUAAAGUUGUUGCAGUUAAAAAGCUCGUAGUUGAAUUUCGGGAUCAGUACGCCGGUCGUGCCUUCGGUAUGCACUGGUGUCACUGGUUUCUCCCUUCUGAAGAACCAUCAUGCCAUUCAGUUGGUGUGGCGGGGAAUCAGGACUGUUACUUUGAAAAAAUUAGAGUGUUUAAAGCAGGCUCGCGCUUGAAUACAUUAGCAUGGAAUAAUGAAAUAGGACGUUUGACCCUAUUUUGUUGGUUUCUAGGAUCGACGUAAUGAUUAAUAGGGAUAGUUGGGGGCAUUAGUAUUCAAUUGUCAGAGGUGAAAUUCUUGGAUUUAUUGAAGACUAACUACUGCGAAAGCAUUUGCCAAGGAUGUUUUCAUUAAUCAAGAACGAAAGUUAGGGGAUCGAAGACGAUCAGAUACCGUCGUAGUCUUAACCAUAAACUAUGCCGACUAGGGAUCGGAUGAUGUUAAUUUUUUAAUGACUCAUUCGGCGCCUUACGGGAAAC
rnacentral:rRNA from 1 species